rnacentral:rRNA from 1 species
CACGUAGGGCGCGAGCGUUGUCCGGAAUUAUUGGGCGUAAAGAGCUCGUAGGCGGCCUGUUGCGUCCGCUGUGAAAGCCCGGGGCUUAACCCCGGGUCUGCAAUGGAUACGGGCAGGCUAGAGGUAGGUAGGGGAGAAUGGAAUUCCUGGUGUAGCGGUGAAAUGCGCAGAUAUCAGGAGGAACACCGGUGGCGAAGGCGGGUCUCUGGGCCGAUACUGACGCUGAGGAGCGAAAGCGUGGGGAGCAAACAGG